rnacentral:rRNA from 1 species
UACGAAGGGGGCUAGCGUUGCUCGGAAUUACUGGGCGUAAAGGGCGCGUAGGCGGCACUGUUAGUCAGGCGUGAAAGUCCUGGGCUCAACCUGGGAACUGCGCUUGAUACGGCAGAGCUAGAGGAUGGAAGAGGCUCGCGGAAUUCCCAGUGUAGAGGUGAAAUUCGUAGAUAUUGGGAAGAACACCGGUGGCGAAGGCGGCGAGCUGGUCCAUUACUGACGCUGAGGCGCGACAGCGGUGGGGAGCAAACAGG